GGAUAUGGGGGUGAUCUGCCUGAGACAACCGUCACUCACUGACCUCUUGGCAAUGAGUCACUGAUCUGGCCGGCUGGAGGGGUAGCUGCCUUGGUCUUCACAGCUCCAUGUGCAUCCACCUUGAGCUAUUCAUUCAAUUAAGGGGGAUCUGAAUUCUUCAGCCGAGAAAAUGGGACUCUUACUUCUUUGAGAUCUAGCUCAAAAGUCACUUUUCCAAUGAAACCUUCCCUGAAGUCUCUUCUAUU
rnacentral:sRNA from 1 species